rnacentral:lncRNA from 10 species
CCCACGGCUGCCUCCCCGUGUGACCAGAAUCACUCAAUGCUGCUGUCCUGGGGCCCGAAGAUCGCGUUUGCCAUUCUGGAACUUUUAUUCAUCUCGCUUUUCAGAAACACAAAUGACGGAUGAAGCACACAGGCCCUGAAACCCAAACGUUAACUUGGACUUAGAGCUGCUUGAGCUAGUUACUUCACAUCUGUUUCAACGGAGCCAGUAGGAGCUGCCUCACACAGCUAGUAGGAGAUGUGAAUGAAUCAGGCAUGGGAAGGUGUCUGCGUGUCACCCAUGGUCGUGGGUCGGCUCUGAGCAGCGGUUGGAGCUUGGAGGGGAGCAGGGCCUGCUGGGCCCUGACCCGAGAUGCAGUCCCGUCCGUGGUGUUCUGCUUCCUCCCUAACACCUCUCUGCAGUGUCCUGCGGCUGGGCAGCGGCCCCCUCAUGGAUGUCCAUGUCCUCAUUCCUGGAUACAGUGGAUAUGUGGCCUUAUGUGGCAAAGGGACUUUGCAGGUGCGGCUGAGCUCAGGAUCCUGAAAUGAAUAGAUGACCCUGGACUAUCUGGGCUGGCCCAGCCUGAUCAGAGGGGUCUGUUUAAGAAGGAGGCAGAGACGGAGAAGGAGAUGUGAAAAUGGAAGCAGAGGAGAAAGAGACACAAUCCUCCAGGCCAGACAGAGCCACCUGCCUGCCACCGCUCACCUUCCUCAGCAUGUGCUUUGGUUCAAGAGUUACCUGAGAGCUGUCCAUU